rnacentral:rRNA from 1 species
UACGUAGGGAGCAAGCGUUGUCCGGAAUCAUUGGGCGUAAAGCGCGCGUAGGUGGCUUCGUAAGUCCGUUGUGAAAGUCAAAGGCUCAACCUUUGAAAGCCGAUGGAUACUGUCGGACUAGAGUGCGGAAGAGGCGAGUGGAAUUCCCGGUGUAGCGGUGAAAUGCGCAGAUAUCGGGAGGAACACCAAUUGCGAAGGCAGCUCGCUGGGACGUUACUGACGCUGAGACGCGAAAGCGUGGGGAGCAAACAGG